UUGACAUUGACCAUGGCUGAGGCAGCAGUCGUCCUGGCGCUGCCGUGUCGGAGACAGCUCUUUUUCCCCGCUCCCCGCUACUUUGUUGUCAGCUUUUGCUGGUAUUCUACAUAUCCCGCAAUUGAUAGUUUUCCCGCUUUGGGAAGUCUUACCCACUCCUCCCCUGAUCCCCACCUCCACCUCCACCUCCACCUUCUCCUCUCCUCCAUAACCGCACUUUUUCAGUCAAUCUCCAGCGGGAGAAUGACGAAGAUAGGUCAAUUUUUAAAUUUCUUCACCAAUUGGUUCGGCAUGUUGAGAAUUCAACGCAGAGAGCCUGAUCUCUUUGAUGGAAAAAAAGUAUCUUUUGUGGAUACAGAUACAUCUGGCCAUCUUCAAGAUCUGGAGAUCAAGGAGGAUGAACAAACAAAGGAAAAUAAAAAGGAAGAGAUUCCACCAUGCCAUGAAGACAACACAGGCAAGGCAAUGGAACCAGAGAAUGCAAAUGUUCUUGAAUAUGGAAGUGAUGAAUCAGAUCUCCCUAAGAAGGGAAAGAGAUUUUGGUUGAGAAGAAGGAAGCAAGUUGUUCGAAAUGGUAAAAACGCUUGUGAUCCACAAUCAUCCCCAAAUCCUGAUCUCAACAGGAGCAGAAAUUGGGUAUCCAGGAUGUUGAAACGUAACCAAGUCAUACCAAUAGGAGUUAAUCCAAAUCCACGAGAAAUUAUCCCUGAUUUCUGUGGAAAGUCUCUGCUACUACUGACUUUAUGUCAUGACCGAACAGUGAUACUGAUGAUUUUAUCCCAUCAUCAUUCUCACUGGUGUUUUUUGUCAAGAAUGACAAAUUAUUAUGGACUGGUUUAACUUCUGAACAAUUUAUUUUUGCAAAGAAGAAAAUAUUCUGUACUUUAUAACCUUCAGACAUUGCAUGUUUAGGUUCACUGAGAUUUCUUCCAGAGAUCUGAUUACUUCCACUGGACCUCAUUCGUCAAUUUUUCUUCUUUGAACCUAAGUUAUUAUUUCUACUUGCUCUUCAUUAUUUAAAGAGGCAAGGAAUAAUAGCAUAAGCUGUGUGGUGAGAUUAUUGGAAUUUGGCAGACUGAUUAAGAUGAGCCACACCUGGCCUGCCCUGAGUGAUGUGUGCUGCUGAUGUCAGCAGGAGAAACCACUCUCCACAGGCAGUUUUGAAGGACCUCCCCUUUUGGGGGAGGAAGAGUAAAUGCUCCCUGAGGGGAGCUCAGUGUCUUCUGGAGUGGUUUUCCCUUGUGGUGGUCUGAGCAGCAGGAGCAGACGAGUCCUGAGGGCCCUGGCUGCAAAGCUGUUUUUCCAUUGAAGCUAUGGACCCCAGGUGAUCUAAGUAAGAGGACAAUAUGGAUAACGUCUUGCCUCGGCAGUGUUGAUGUGAUACCAAUGGACUAUGAGAAUGAAGAUCCAAACCAAGCAAUUAUCCAUC